rnacentral:rRNA from 1 species
AGAGUUUGAUCCUGGCUCAGAUUGAACGCUGGCGGCAGGCCUAACACAUGCAAGUCGAGCGGCAGCGGGAAAGUAGCUUGCUACUUUUGCCGGCGAGCGGCGGACGGGUGAGUAAUGCCUGGGAAAUUGCCCAGUCGAGGGGGAUAACUACUGGAAACGGUAGCUAAUACCGCAUACGCCCUACGGGGGAAAGCAGGGGACCUUCGGGCCUUGCGCGAUUGGAUAUGCCCAGGUGGGAUUAGCUGGUUGGUGAGGUAAUGGCUCACCAAGGCGACGAUCCCUAGCUGGUCUGAGAGGAUGAUCAGUCACACUGGAACUGAGACACGGUCCAGACUCCUACGGGAGGCAGCAGUGGGGAAUAUUGCACAAUGGGGGAAACCCUGAUGCAGCCAUGCCGCGUGUGUGAAGAAGGCCUUCGGGUUGUAAAGCACUUUCAGCGAGGAGGAAAGGUGGUUGGCUAAUACCCAACAGCUGUGACGUUACUCGCAGAAGAAGCACCGGCUAACUCCGUGCCAGCAGCCGCGGUAAUACGGAGGGUGCAAGCGUUAAUCGGAAUUACUGGGCGUAAAGCGCACGCAGGCGGUUGGAUAAGUUAGAUGUGAAAGCCCCGGGCUCAACCUGGGAAUUGCAUUUAAAACUGUCCAGCUAGAGUCUUGUAGAGGGGGGUAGAAUUCCAGGUGUAGCGGUGAAAUGCGUAGAGAUCUGGAGGAAUACCGGUGGCGAAGGCGGCCCCCUGGACAAAGACUGACGCUC